GAUAUACUCCCUCCGUUCCAAAAUUCUUGUCUUAGAUUUGUCUAAAUACGGAUGUAUCAAGUCACGUUUUAGUAUUAGAUACAUCCAUAUCUAAACAAAUCUAAGACAAGAAUUUUGGAACGGGGGGAGUAUAAG
rnacentral:pre_miRNA from 1 species